rnacentral:lncRNA from 1 species
CAAAGACAUUUUCAAAUAAGCAAAAGGUGAUAGAAUGUGUCAUCCACAGACCUGCACUAUAAAAAACAGUAGAAGAAGUUCUUCAGUAUGAAAAUGAAUGAUACAAGAUGGAAACUGAGAUCUACAAAAUGAAACAUCAUUGGAAAUAGUAAAUACAUGGGUAAGUAUAAAACAUUUUUUUCUCAUUUAAAAAGAGUAUCUUUAAGGGCAAAUUAAUUAUUUAAAUAAAAAUAAUAACUGCAUUGUACAGUUAAUAACAUAUGCAGAGGUGAAAUAUAUGAUGAGGAUCACAAACUAAGGCAGGCAGAAAUGAUAGUUUACUCUUUUAAGUUUCUUACAUUAUAUAUUAUUUGAUAUUUGAUGAAUAUUAUUUGAUGGUAGUCUGUGUUAAAAGAGGCAUACUGUAAAUCCUAACGAAACUACAAAAUAAAUAAAACUAAAUGUUAUUGUUAAUAAACCACUAGAAAAGAUAAAAUGUAACACAGAUCCUGCAUAAUUCAUCCAAACAAAAUCA